rnacentral:rRNA from 1 species
AGGAUCAUUAUCGAAUUGUUAAAACUUGGCUGUCGCUGGCUCUUUCUUUCUUGAAAUCGCAUGUGCACGCCUAGUUUACACUUUUCAUUCUAACCUCCUGUGCACUUUUGUGGAUCGUGGGUAGAUAAAAUUUGUCAAAGUCAUAUUUGGUUUUGGGGAUUGCGCGCUCCGCUUUCCCCUACUUAUUUGUCCCACGGUUCAUGUCUUUUGACUACAAACUAUUAAAUAUAAACCUAGAAUGUCUAACAAGUUGGAACUUUGGUGUUCCUUCUUAAAAUCUUAUACAACUUUCAACAACGGAUCUCUUGGCUCUCGCAUCGAUGAAGAACGCAGCGAAAUGCGAUAAGUAAUGUGAAUUGCAGAUUUCAGUGAAUCAUCGAGUCUUUGAACGCACCUUGCACCCUGUGGUAUUCCACAGGGUAUGCCCGUUUGAGUAUCAUUAUAUUAUCAACCGCCAAAAUCUUUGUGUUCUUGGUGGCUUGGUCUUGAGGGUUAUUGCAGGCUCCUUUGUCAGUCAGCUCCCUUUAAAUCUAUUAGCGAGACUUCCCUAUGCUGAACUCAUAAUCUUGACGUGAUAAGUCUAUCUGCGUUUUGGAGUUCUCAUUGGGCUUGCUUCUAAUCGGUCUGGUUUUGGACAAUUGGAAUUGAGUGCAUAUAUGCGCUUUUUUUUCAAACCCAUUUUUGAUCUCAAAUCGGGUAGGACUACCCGCUGAACUUAA